rnacentral:tRNA from 3 species
GGGCCCGUAGCUCAAUGGCGGAGCAGACGACUUAUACUCGUCCGGCUGUAGGUUCGAGUCCUACCGGGCCCA